rnacentral:rRNA from 1 species
UCCAGACUCCUACGGGAGGCAGCAGUGGGGAAUAUUGCACAAUGGGGGGAACCCUGAUGCAGCAACGCCGCGUGGGUGAAGGAGCGUUUCGGCGCGUAAAGCCCUGUCAGCGGGGAAGAAGAAAGACGGUACCCGACCAAGAAGCCCCGGCUAACUACGUGCCAGCAGCCGCGGUAAUACGUAGGGGGCAAGCGUUAUCCGGAUUUACUGGGUGUAAAGGGAGCGUAGGCGGUUAGAUAAGUCUGAUGUGAAAGCCCACAGCUUAACUGUGGGAUUGCAUUGGAAACUAUAGAACUAGAGUGUCGGAGAGGUAAGUGGAAUUCCUGGUGUAGCGGUGAAAUGCGUAGAUAUUAGGAGGAACACCAGUGGCGAAGGCGGCUUACUGGACGAUGACUGACGCUGAGGCUCGAAAGCGUGGGGAGCAAACAGGAUUAGAUACCCCGGUAAU